rnacentral:rRNA from 1 species
GAUGAACGCUGGCGGCGUGCCUAAUACAUGCAAGUCGAGCGAACAGACGAGGAGCUUGCUCCUCUGACGUUAGCGGCGGACGGGUGAGUAACACGUGGAUAACCUACCUAUAAGACUGGGAUAACUUCGGGAAACCGGAGCUAAUACCGGAUAAUAUAUUGAACCGCAUGGUUCAAUAGUGAAAGACGGUUUUGCUGUCACUUAUAGAUGGAUCCGCGCCGCAUUAGCUAGUUGGUAAGGUAACGGCUUACCAAGGCAACGAUGCGUAGCCGACCUGAGAGGGUGAUCGGCCACACUGGAACUGAGACACGGUCCAGACUCCUACGGGAGGCAGCAGUAGGGAAUCUUCCGCAAUGGGCGAAAGCCUGACGGAGCAACGCCGCGUGAGUGACGAAGGUCUUCGGAUCGUAAAACUCUGUUAUUAGGGAAGAACAAAUGUGUAAGUAACUAUGCACGUCUUGACGGUACCUAACCAGAAAGCCACGGCUAACUACGUG